rnacentral:rRNA from 1 species
GACGAACGCUGGCGGCGUGCUUAACACAUGCAAGUCGAGCGGAAAGGCCCUUUCGGGGGUACUCGAGCGGCGAACGGGUGAGUAACACGUGAGUAAUCUGCCUCUGGCUUCGGGAUAGCCACCGGAAACGGUGAUUAAUACCGGAUACGACGUAUCACUGCAUGGUGUGUGCGUGGAAAGUUUUUUCGGCCAGGGAUGGGCUCGCGGCCUAUCAGCUUGUGGGGGGGGUAAUGGCCUACCAAGGGUUCGACGGGUAGCCGGCCUGAGAGGGUGACCGGCCACACUGGGACUGAGACACGGCCCAGACUCCUGCGGAAGGCAGCAGUGGGGAAUAUUGCACAAUGGGCGAAAGCCUGAUGCAGCGACGCCGCGUGAGGGAUGAAGGCCUUCGGGUUGUAAACCUCUUUCAGUAGGGAAGAAGCGCAAGUGACGGUACCUACAGAAGAAGCACCGGCUAACUACGUGCCAGCCGCCGCCGUAAUAC